CGUAGGGCGCAAGCGUUGUCCGGAAUUAUUGGGCGUAAAGAGCUCGUAGGCGGUCUGUUGCGUCCGCUGUGAAAACUCGGGGCUUAACCCCGAGCCUGCAGUGGAUACGGGCAGACUAGAGGUAGGUAGGGGAGAAUGGAAUUCCCGGUGUAGCGGUGAAAUGCGCAGAUAUCAGGAGGAACACCGAUGGCGAAGGCAGGUCUCUGGGCCACUACUGACGCUGAGAAGCGAAAGCGUGGGGAGCAAACAGG
rnacentral:rRNA from 1 species